rnacentral:rRNA from 1 species
AUUGAACGCUGGCGGCAGGCCUAACACAUGCAAGUCGAACGAGCGGCGGACGGGUGAGUAAUGUCUGGGAAUCUGCCUGAUGGAGGGGGAUAACUACUGGAAACGGUAGCUAAUACCGCAUACCAUCGGAUGUGCCCAGAUGGGAUUAGCUUGUAGGUGGGGUAAAGGCUCCCCUAGGCGACGAUCCCUAGCUGGUCUGAGAGGAUGAUCAGCCACCCUGGAACUGAGACACGGUCCAGACUCCGACGGGAGGCAGCAGUGGGGAAUAGUGCACAAUGGGCGCAAGCCUGAUGCAGCCAUGCCGCGUGUAUGAAGAAGGCCUUCGGGUUGUAAAGUACUUUCAGCGGGGAGGCGUUACCCGCAGAAGAAGCACCGGCUAACUCCGUGCCAGCAGCCGCGGUAAUUC